UUGACCUCGGAUCAGGUAGGAAUACCCGCUGAACUUAAGCAUAUCAAUAAGCGGAGGAAAAGAAACCAACAGGGAUUGCCUCAGUAACGGCGAGUGAAGCGGCAACAGCUCAAAUUUGAAAUCUGGCCCCCGGCCCGAGUUGUAAUUUGCAGAGGAUGCUUCCGGCGAGGCGCUUUCCAAGUCCCCUGGAACGGGGCGCCACAGAGGGUGAGAGCCCCGUCUGGUCGGCGGCCGAGCCUGUGCGAAGCUCCUUCGACGAGUCGAGUAGUUUGGGAAUGCUGCUCUAAACGGGAGGUAGACCCCUUCUAAAGCUAAAUACCGGCCAGAGACCGAUAGCGCACAAGUAGAGUGAUCGAAAGAUGAAAAGCACUUUGAAAAGAGGGUUAAACAGUACGUGAAAUUGUUGAAAGGGAAGCGCUCGGGACCAGACGUGCGCCGGGCGUUCAGCGGGCGUUCUCGCCCGUGUACUCGCCCCGGCGCAGGCCAGCGUCGGCUCGGGAGGGGGGACAAGGGCGCUGGGAACGUGGCUCCUCCGGGAGUGUUACAGCCCAGCGCGUCAUGCCCCCGCCCGGGCCGAGGUUCGCGCUCCGCAAGGACGCUGGCGUAAUGGUCUCCAGCGGCCCGUCUUGAAACACGGACCAAGGAGUCGAGGUUUUGCGCGAGUGUCUGGGUGUCAAGCCCGCACGCGUAAUGAAAGUGAACGCAGGUGGGAGCUUCGGCGCACCACCGACCGAUCCUGAUGUUCUCGGAUGGAUUUGAGUAGGAGCGCAGGGCCUCGGACCCGAAAGAUGGUGAACUAUACUUGGAUAGGGUGAAGCCAGAGGAAACUCUGGUGGAGGCUCGCAGCGGUUCUGACGUGCAAAUCGAUCGUCAAAUCUGAGUAUGGGGGCGAAAGACUAAUCGAACCAUCUAGUAGCUGGUUACCGCCGAAGUUUCCCUCAGGAUAGCAGUGUUGAUCUCAGUUUUAUGAGGUAAAGCGAAUGAUUAGGGACUCGGGGGCGCUUUUUAGCCUUCAUCCAUUCUCAAACUUUAAAUAUGUAAGAAGCCCCUGUUGCUUAAUUGAACGGGGGCAUUCGAAUGCAGCAACACUAGUGGGCCAUUUUUGGUAAGCAGAACUGGCGAUGUGGGAUGAACCAUACGGGGGGUUAAGGUGCCGGAGUGGACGCUCAUCAGACACCACAAAAGGCGUUAGCACAUCUUGACAGCAGGACGGUGGCCAUGGAAGUCGGAAUCCGCUAAGGACUGUGUAACAACUCACCUGCCGAAUGUGCUAGCCCUGAAAAUGGAUGGCGCUCAAGCGUCCCACCCAUACCCCCCCCUCAGGGUAGAAACGAUGCCCUGAGGAGUAGGCGGCCGCAGCGCUGUGUGACGAAGGCUAGGGCGUGAGCCCGGCUCGAACUGGCGCUGGUGCAGAUCUUGGUGGUAGUAGCAAAUACUUCAAUGAGAACUUGAAGGACCGAAGUGGAGAAAGGUUCCAUAUGAACAGCGGUUGGAUGUGGGUUAGUCGAUCCUGAGCCAUAGGGAAGUUCCGUUUCAAAGGGGCACUCGUGCCCCGUAUGGCGACAGGGAAGCCGGUCAAUAUUCCCGGCACCUGGAUGUGGGUUUUUCGCGGUAACGCAACCGAACGCGGAGACGGCGGCGGGGGCCCCGGGCAGAGUUCUCUUUUCUUCUUAACGGUCUCACCACCCUGGAAACAGUUUGUCUGGAGAUAGGGUUCCACGGCCGGAAGAGCCCAGCACUUCUGCUGGGUCCGGCGCGCCCCCGACGUCCCUUGAAAAUCCGCGGGAGGGAAUAAUUCUCGCGCUAGGUCGUACUCAUAACCGCAGCAGUCCUCCAAGGUGA
rnacentral:rRNA from 1 species